rnacentral:tRNA from 1 species
UGGAAAGUGGUGUAGUGGAAGCACU